GAUGAACGCUAGCGAUAGGCUUAACACAUGCAAGUCGAGGGGCAGCAUGGUCUUAGCUUGCUAAGACUGAUGGCGACCGGCGCACGGGUGCGUAACGCGUAUGCAACUUGCCUCACAGAGGGGGAUAACCCGUCGAAAGACGGACUAAUACCGCGUACACUCUAUUUUGGGCAUCCAAGGUAGAGGAAAUGAAAUUCGCUGUGAGAUAGGCAUGCGUCCCAUUAGCUAGUUGGUGAGGUAACGGCUCACCAAGGCGACGAUGGGUAGGGGAACUGAGAGGUUGAACCCCCACACUGGUACUGAGACACGGACCAGACUCCUACGGGAGGCAGCAGUGAGGAAGAUUGGUCAAUGGGCGAGAGCCUGAACCAGCCAAGUCGCGUGAAGGAGGACUGUCUUAUGGAUUGUAAACUUCUUUUGUAGGGGAAUAAAGAGGGGCACGUGUGCCCCAGUGAAUGUACCCUACGAAUAAGCAUCGGCUAACUCCGUG
rnacentral:rRNA from 1 species